rnacentral:misc_RNA from 1 species
CUUUCAAAAAAAAAAAGAAAAAAUAAUAAUAAUCCAAUGAUUAUAUAUUCAAUCAUGGUUUACUCAUCAAGACCCCAUAUGAUUGGGGGCAACCCAAUUGUUGGUUUUUACACAAAACUUCCUUUUCCUUUAAAUUAAAUCAAACAGCUCUAAAUCGAUAUAAAUGCUAUAGGGCUUCUGCAAUGAGUUUUUCAGUAAGAGCUUUUGAAAGUCCCAUCACUGUGUCAGUACUCCCUACCACUGCUUCAACAAAAGGUGAUGUCAGUGGGUGCUCUAGCAUAAGACCCCCGGCCACGUUGAAUGUAACUCCCUCCUCAAUCUGAGAACAUCUCACCACCAACAAAGAAACUUGUUAAAUAUGUUUGGCAAAUAUAGUAGCUCCAAUUGGUACCAAAUAGUGAUCAAGAAUUUGUAAAAUUUACCAGACUAUCAAUAACCUCAUCCGGUAUCUCAUGGAAAUAAACCUGUAAACAAGCACAAGCUUGAAAGGAAAUUUCACCAAAUUUUCAUAAAUAAUGAGCUUUAGACAUACUCCAUGAUUGGCCGGGAUAAAAACUAUUUAAUUGUUCUAGUAAACCAAAAUCUAUACACCAAAUACUACAGCAAUAAAAAGUACCUCUGCCCUCUCCCAUGCUCCUUUCCUUGUUCCUGUAGUAAGGUUAGUUACUAGUACGGAUCCCACAACAGCUGCAUGACCACCAGAAUACCCUGCAACCAAUAGCCAUAUGACCACUGAACCAGUAAGAGUCUUGUCAACAGUGGAGGAGAAAACUAUUAACCAACCUUUGAUGAAAUUCCGUGCUUCUUCCUUUGUGGUUGGCUUUUCUCUAAUCAUCCCUUUGUACAAGACCACCUCAAAAUCCAUGAGAUUUAGCAGUAAGAUAUAACGUUAAAUAAUUUUUACUCACAAUUGAAGAGAAAAUAAUUGAACAGCAACCUGUGAUUUCUAAUACUUGCGUAAUACUGUAAUAUGUUACAUGUUUUAUUAAUGGCACACCACUUGUAAGCAUUUAAGAAAAGAGUAUCUAUAAGCUGCGAUUCAAGUGCCAAACAUGCCAACAAAAUGGGCAAUGGCAAAUAAGAAUAUUCACCAUGUGCAAAAUUGAUCACAAAUAUCCUCCAAAGAAGAGCUCCUAGAUCAGGAGGUCUAGGUUGGGCUAGCUGUAUUAAUUCUAUGGAGGGAAUAAAAUGGAAACAUGUCUGUUUUUUCUCAUAAACAUCUUGCAUGUGUAAAAAUUUACAAAUAAUUUAUUAAAGCUUGCUCCAUCUUUCUUUCCUUGAAUUUUUCAAUAUUUAAAAUAAUCAUGCAAUGUUAAAAGGAGAUAUGAUCAAUGAUAUAGAAGCAUCACAACAAAACAUGUAAAGGAACACAAUUAGAUAUAUAAAUCAGCAGCAAAAGACCUUCAAUUAAGAUAGCCUUAGAUAGAUAGUACAUUGAUGAAGGGCAAAGAUUAAUCUAUGUAAUAAAUUAAGACCAUUUUCGAUGAUUCUUACUAAAAUUACACAUAGCAGUCAACUAGAAUUACAAGAGUAACAAGCUCUUCUAGCAAUACAGGACAAGGAAUAAUGAAUAUAAGAAUUAUCAAAUUUUAAGUCCUUGCAUACAAAAGUUUACUAUUUAAGAGUAUUAUUAGGAGUUCUUCAUUUUCUUUUCUUAUCUACAUAAUUUAAUUUAGAAAUAGCCAGUCAUUGAAUAAUAUAAGUGAAGUUAGUCCUGACCUUUCCACACUUUUCAUAUUAAAACUCCAAGUUUUAGCAACAGAUUUUGGGUGUACAUGUCUAGGCCAAAACAAGAUAGAAUUGGAAAUAAAAAAAUGGAAUCAGGACAAACUGUGUCUGCUGUAAUCAACAAGGUUGCAUGAGCAUUCUCUUCCAAUUGACCCAUAGUUUGAAGCCUUGUUACAAUGGCAUCUGCCUUGGCAUGAGCCAAAGCCAUAACCAAUUCCUCUGGCUUCUCUUUCCUUAUGCACUUUUCAUCUAUAUCUGCAGUCAUAAUUGAGAAUUCAUAUCCCAUCUCAGAUAGAAUUUGCCGCCGAGCCAUGGAUGAUGAACCCAAUAUUAUCUUAUAUGAGGAUUUGCAUGUAUCCAUCUCUAUCUCUUGCAAGCUCCAUUUUCGUAGGGAUGCUAUGCGGACAAUAGGGGCUGUUAACAUAGUUGUCAAAGAAACUAGACGCAUCAUGGCGUGCAAAGUAUCCCAAUACCUAGAUAUGUGCACACCAAAACACUGGACGUUCGCUUCUCGUGUUCUUUAGCAAGUAGCAACCAUAACAGCGCAUGAGCAAGAAAGAAUACUAUCAUACCUUGGCUUCCGAAACGUCGUCGUUCCCGAUAACAAUCAAAAUUUUCCCUUCUUUUUUCUGGCCAGAGAGCUUUCCAUUUUUGCGUACAAGACAACAAAAU